UGACUCUGUGAGUAUGCACAAACUAAAUAAUUAUGAAUUCACUAUUAACUUAUCCCAAUCUCUAAUUUUGUUUUACAAUAUAUAAAGAUUAAAGGACUGCAAAGACAAAUUGAUAUGAUAUCUCAACGUAAGGAGUUAAAAGACCAUAGGUGCCAGACCUCCAAUUUGCUUCUUGGUCGCUCAGAGAAAUAGACAUGGGAUAUGCAAAGCAGACAGAUAGCUCUUCAUGUGGCUCUUUCUUUUGAACUAUAUCGAAUACUGGACAGGGAAUGAACUGUCUAACAGUUUUACCCAGG